AGUAACAACCAUUUGAGUCUGGGAUUUCUGAAUGGGGAAACCCACGUGCAUAAGCACGUAUCCUUACCUGAAUACAUAGGGUAAGGAGGCGAACCGGGGGAACUGAAACAUCUAAGUACCCCGAGGAAAAGAAAUCAACCGAGAUUCCGAAAGUAGCGGCGAGCGAAAUUGGACUAGCCCUUAAGCUUUACACGCGUUAGACGAACGGUCUGGAAAGUCCGACGAUACAGGGUGAUAGUCCCGUAGUUGACGACGUGUGUUCAGUGAAAUCGAGUAGGGCGGGACACGUGAUAUCCUGUCUGAAUAUGGGGGGACCAUCCUCCAAGGCUAAAUACUACUGACUGACCGAUAGUGAACCAGUACCGUGAGGGAAAGGCGAAAAGAACCCCUGUGAGGGGAGUGAAAUAGAACCUGAAACCGUGUACGUACAAGCAGUAGGAGCAGGCUUUGUCCUGUGACUGCGUACCUUUUGUAUAAUGGGUCAGCGACUUAUAUUCAGUGGCAAGGUUAACCAUCUAGGGGAGCCGUAGGGAAACCGAGUCUUAACUGGGCGUUCAGUCUCUGGAUAUAGACCCGAAACCAGGUGAUCUAGCCAUGGGCAGGUUGAAGGUUGAGUAACAUCAACUGGAGGACCGAACCGACUAAUGUUGAAAAAUUAGCGGAUGACUUGUGGCUAGGGGUGAAAGGCCAAUCAAACCUGGAGAUAGCUGGUUCUCCCCGAAAGCUAUUUAGGUAGCGCCUCGGACGAAUACUACUGGGGGUAGAGCACUGUUAAGGCUAGGGGGUCAUCCCGACUUACCAACCCUUUGCAAACUCCGAA
rnacentral:rRNA from 1 species